UCACUUCCUAAAUCCGCUAACAACUUGGUUUUUGAAGAGAAGGCUCCAUUUCCUUACACUGUGUAAAUCCUUUCACUAAUUGGUUUAGACUGCGCGUGUCACUCAUAUAAUAUAUAUUCCUAUUUCUAUAUUUUUAUCCUCUCGCAGGCACUGUUAAAGGUUAUAGAAAAUAUUUUGGCAACGAUGGAAAGGACAGCUCAAAUUCCUGAACUGCCAGUGCCAAUUUUGGAGCACAUUCUGUCUUUUCUUACUAUUAUAGAUGCUGCCAAAACUAGUAUAUUGUGUAAGGCUUGGAACAGUGCUUGGAAUUCCCUCUCCUGCUUAAAUUUUGGUGAUGAUUAUUUAAGGAUGCCAAUAAACAGUGUGGAUCAAAUUCUAGCAAAUCGUCAAAGGCAGAAUAUCUCUAUACAAAGGUUCAUUGUUAAGUUAUCAUAUUCUUCGUUAACCUCUGAUUAUGUGAAUGAUUGGAUUAAUAUACUGAUAGCUUGUAAUGUCAAAGAGUUGUUUUUAGAGGUUGGCAUAUUCACUUACAUCAAGUUGCCUGAAGCAAUUUUUGCUGCCAAAGCUCUAAAUGUACUUCGUUUAUCUGGAUUUAAGCUUGAAUUACCCUCAAAUGGCAUAAAGUUUUCAUCUUUGCGAGAGUUGCACCUUUUUGACCUGUUUUUGGACGAGCAAUUACUUCAAGCUCUAUGUGCAAGUUGCAGAGAUUUAGAAGUUGUGUCAUUCAAGAGAUUUUAUGGAUUAAUCAGUUUUCAAGUUGUAGGAACUUUACCUAAACUACGGUCCGUAUAUUUGGAAGAUUUCCCUUCUCAAUUCCAGAUGGUUGAUAUUGUAGCACAUAGUCUUAAAGACCUUUACAUUAGCUCCUGCGGAGAAUUCCCACAAGUGGGGUCUGAGAAAGUUAGUAUGUACGCUGGGUUACCCCUAUCCUGGGAGGGCAGAAAUGCUGUUUCCGAUAGAGGGGACAUAAGUGUAUUAAUCACAAGUGGGGCCAAAGCUCUAAAUGUGCUUCGUUUAUCUGGAUUUAAGCUUGAAUUACCCUCAAAUGGCAUAAAGUUUUCAUCUUUGCGAGAGUUGCACCUUGUUGACCUGUUUUUGGACGAGCAAUUACUUCAAGCUCUAUGCGCAAGUUGCAGAGAUUUAGAAGUUUUGUCUUUCAAGAGAUUUCAUGGAUUAAUCAGUUUUCAAGUUGUAGGAACUUUACCUAAACUACGGUCGGUAUAUUUGGAAGAUUUCCCUUCUCAAUUCUAGAUGGUUGAUAUUGUAGCACCUAAUCUUAAAGACCUUUACAUUAGCUCCCACAGAGGAUUCCUACAAGUGGGGUAUGGGGAGGGUAGGAUGUACGCAGGCUUACCCCUAUCCUGAGAGGACAGAGAGGCUAUUUCCGAUAGAGGGGACCUAAGUGUAUUAAUUAAAAUAACUGCUUGCAAAACCCUACAAUGUUUGCAGCUCAUAGAUGUGGCUAUGACUGACCAAUGGUUAGAGAACCUUUUACCAAAUCUACCCAACCUUGAAAUCUUUUACUUAUCUCGUUGCUGGUCGUUGAAGAUCGUGAAGAUCUCAAGUAACGGGCUUAAGUAUCUGGACAUAGUCGCGUGCGACAAUCUGAUUGAGGUUGAUCUAGAUACUCCCAACUUAUUAAGAUUCUCAUCUGAGGUUCGUUAUGGAAAAGAUAUUGUUGAACCCUUGCCCACAUUCAAACUGAAAGCUUCACAUAUGCUGGAAGCUAAUCUCAAUUUGAUCCCGGAAAUAACCCUUGACACUUACUGGUACAAUAAGUUCAUGAAGUCUCUAGCUAACUUUAAUCAUUCCAAGGCUAUUACAUUUCGCUGCGAAAAUGACAAGGUGAUAGUUAUACCAAAAUACAAGAGAGAAAACUUGAUUCCUCCACUUUAUUGUACUAAGCAUUUGUACGUAAUUAUGAACCGAUGGAAUCAUUCAGUUGUGGAUCUUGUUGAUAGUUUGCUUUGGAUUUCUCCUCAAUUGGACACCCUAUCUUUUGGCAGGGCUCUAGACAUAAAGAUCCUGAAGUUUACAUACAGAGAUGCAGCUGAUGAGGAACCUUGUUGUGAAUCUCUACCUUGGAAAUAUUGGAGGCACGAGUUAAAGAAAGUUAAAUUGCAAAACUUUACAUGUGUGGAGCUAUCGAAGUUGAGAAACUACUUUCUUACAAAUACAGAUAUAUUGGAGAUAAUUGAAGAUCCACCAAGAUGCAACAUUUGUAGUUCAGUUCAGUAGAUCUUCUUUAAAUAUUCCAUUGUUCCUUUUGUGUAGUUGCGUCUAGCUAAUGAUGUGUUUUUCAUGAUGUGCUAGGAGCAGAUUGUGUACUUGUCGAUGAUAGGAGAAUUCCUGUUGAACAUUUGUUUGCAAUGAUAUUCUUUUUAUUUUCUUAUUUGUUUUCCUUCCUUUCUUUCCUUUUAAGCAAAUUAUCCUAGAACAUUCGUAGGGGUUUGUUUGGUUUAGAAACAAGUUAUGCAGGGAUUGACCGAUUGUAACACAGAGAUGAAUAAUACAUGGAUUAGUAAUGCAGGUAUUGAGGCGUAGUUAUUUCAUCUGAACGUUUUAGAUUUUGUUUGAGGAUUUUUUCGAAUCUUGACUGGUGUGUGGUACAUCAAUGUUUUGGUUGUGCUUCGGGCGAUAACCUUGGAAUAUCCAUACACUGAUAUUAAGUUGUUCAACUAUUCACUGUCGGAGUGAUUGUUCUGAUUCAAUAUGUGAUACUAUGAAAAGUAUUAAAUUUAAGCUUGUUUUGUUGAUUCAAACAAUAGCUGAAGUUGUUGAGCCUUCUG